UUUAAUGAUGACAAGCUGUCGCCCCAAACGGACUUUAUAAUGACCGAUUCGAUUCAAUAGCCAAACACACUGAAAAUUCUGAUC
rnacentral:snoRNA from 1 species